rnacentral:lncRNA from 1 species
UUUCGUCCCCGAGGGUAUCACCAGCCCAGUAGUCAACACUUCGGUGUUGACAUGAAUAUCAAUAAUGUGGUAAUUUUUUUUAUAAAUUUCCAGUUUACAAAACAUUGAAUUUUUCGAACAACUAAGGAUUUUCUUAUCCCAGGCAUAGAUUACCUUAGCCGUAUUUGGCAUAACUUUUUGGAAUUUUGGAUCCUCAAUGCUCUUCAACUUUUUACUUGUUUGGCUUUAUAAAUAUUUUGAUAUGAGCGUCACUGAUGAG